UACGGAGGGUGCGAGCGUUAAUCGGAAUUACUGGGCGUAAAGCGUGCGUAGGUGGUUGAUUAAGUUAUCUGUGAAAUCCCUGGGCUCAACCUGGGCAGGUCAGAUAAAACUGAUUAACUCGAGUAUAGGAGAGGGUAGUGGAAGUUUCCGGUGUAGCGGUGAAAUGCGUAGAGAUCGGAAGGAACACCAGUGGCGAAGGCGGCUACCUGGCCUAAUACUGACACUGAGGCACGGAAAGCGUGGGGAGCGAACAGG
rnacentral:rRNA from 1 species